rnacentral:rRNA from 1 species
AACGGACGCUGGCGGCAUGCCUAACACAUGCAAGUCGAACGAUGCCUUCGGGCGUAGUGGCGCACGGGUGCGUAACGCGUGGGAAUCUGCCUUUCGGUUCGGAAUAACUCAGGGAAACUUGAGCUAAUACCGGAUAACGUCGCAAGACCAAAGAUUUAUCACCGAAAGAUGAGCCCGCGUAGGAUUAGCUAGUUGGUGAGGUAAAGGCUCACCAAGGCGACGAUCCUUAGCUGGUCUGAGAGGAUGAUCAGCCACACUGGGACUGAGACACGGCCCAGACUCCUACGGGAGGCAGCAGUGGGGAAUAUUGGACAAUGGGCGAAAGCCUGAGCCAGCAAUGCCGCGUGAGUGAUGAAGGCCUUAGGGUUGUAAAGCUCUUUUAACCGGGAAGAUAAUGACGGUACCGGGAGAAUAAGCCCCGGCUAACUCCGUG